rnacentral:rRNA from 1 species
UACGUAGGGGGCGAGCGUUGUCCGGAUUUAUUGGGCGUAAAAGGCUUGUAGGUUGCCACGGCAAGUCGGAUGUGAAAUCUCCCGGCUCAACUGGGAGGGGUCAUUCGAUACUGCCGGGCUCGAGGCCGGUAGGGGGAAGCGGAAUUCCCGGUGUAGUGGUGGAAUGCGUAGAUAUCGGGAGGAACACCAGAGGCGAAGGCGGCUUCCUGGACCGGUCCUGACACUGAGGAGCGAAAGCGUGGGGAGCGAUCCGG